AAAAGCUAAAACUCAUACUUUAAAUUUAGAAAAUGAAUUUAUAAUUUUACAGAUUUUAAUGGAAAAAAAUAUAUUUACAUUUUUGUUUUUUUAAUUCUGACUCCAGUGAUUCAAAAUAGCCUUUAUAAUAAAAUAUUCAAAUCUUUUUUGAAAUUAUUAUUCGAGUAAACCUUGAGACAGUUCGUUGGAACGCGUAAAAGUCAAUUUUUCUCCAAACAACGGUAGUGAGGAAUCACUUUAACAGAAUAAUAAUUGUAUGUUGCCUAUACAAUUUUUCUCAAAGACGCCUCUAACGAUUUUGUCAGAAUUUUGUACUUAUGGCUAAACCAGUAGAUAAAAGACAAAAUCAAGAAAAACAUGAUUCUGAUGACAAUUAAAUUAUGGCUAAAUCAGUAGAUAAAUGACAAAAUCAAGAAAAACAAG